rnacentral:lncRNA from 1 species
AUUUAGCCUCUGGCUCUCUGUCUGGACCAUGUCUUCUGGUGAUUCCAGAAAUGAGGCAGAAUGAGAGCUGUAUCAAAUUAUGUGCAAUAAAAUAUUAAAUUUUAUAUGUUGAUAAGGAUUUUGAUUAUUUCACUGUGGACAUGGAGAAAGAAGUGAAAGAAUUUCAUUCAACAUUCAUGGGGAAAGAGAAUACAAAAUGAAUGUGUAUGUGUUCAGAUUGGCAGAUGGGCUAGUAACAAGGAAUGGAAAGAUGAGGAUUUUAAUUUCCAUCUGGUGUGAAGUUUUAUUCCGUUGCCCCUUCAGUGUAUUACAGUGUUGACUAGAAAUGGCACUUCAGUGAACCAGUUUGCCAAGCAAAUGUCUGAAUUAUUCUCCACUGAAAGUAGCUGGUAUGGUUGACAUUUGUUUUUAUUUUUGACAGAGAGACAGAUACAGAGAGACAGAAAGAGAGAGAGAGAGAGAGAGAGAGAGAGAGAGAAUAAAUGGGGGAGGGGCAGAAGUAGAGAAAGAAAG